rnacentral:rRNA from 1 species
GACGUAGGGCGCGAGCGUUGUCCGGAUUUAUUGGGCGUAAAGAGCUCGUAGGCGGCUUGUCGCGUCGUCUGUGAAAUCCCGCGGCUCAACUGCGGGCUGGCAGUCGAUACGGGCAGGCUGGAGUGCGGUAGGGGAGACUGGAAUUCCUGGUGUAGCGGUGAAAUGCGCAGAUAUCAGGAGGAACACCGGUGGCGAAGGCGGGUCUCUGGGCCGUAACUGACGCUGAGGAGCGAAAGCGUGGGGAGCGAACAGG